UACGGAGGGUGCAAGCGUUAUCCGGAUUCACUGGGUUUAAAGGGCGCGUAGGUGGGAUGGUAAGUCAGUGGUGAAAUCUCCGGGCUUAACUCGGAAACUGCCGUUGAUACUAUCAUUCUUGAAUAUUGUGGAGGUAAGCGGAAUAUGUCAUGUAGCGGUGAAAUGCUUAGAUAUCUGGAGGAACACCGGUGGCGAAGGCGGCAUUCUGGACCGAUAUUGACGCUGAGGAGCGAAAGCCAGGGGAGCAAACGGG
rnacentral:rRNA from 1 species